rnacentral:rRNA from 1 species
UACGGAGGGUGCAAGCGUUAUCCGGAUUUACUGGGUUUAAAGGGUGUGUAGGCGGGCUUUUAAGUCAGUGGUGAAAUCUCCGGGCUCAACCUGGAAACUGCCAUUGAUACUAUUAGUCUUGAAUUUUGUUGAGGUAGGCGGAAUAAGUCAUGUAGCGGUGAAAUGCAUAGAUAUGACUUAGAACACCAAUUGCGAAGGCAGCUUGCUAAACAAAUAUUGACGCUGAGGCACGAAAGCGUGGGGAGCAAACAGG